AUUGAACGCUGGCGGCAGGCCUAACACAUGCAAGUCGAGCGGAUGAAGGGAGCUUGCUCCUGGAUUCAGCGGCGGACGGGUGAGUAAUGCCCAGGAAUCUGCCUGGUAGUGGGGGAUAACGUCCGGAAACGGGCGCUAAUACCGCAUACGUCCUGAGGGAGAAAGUGGGGGAUCUUCGGACCCCACGCUAUCAGAUGAGCCUAGGUCGGAUUAGCUAGUUGGUGGGGUAAAGGCCUACCAAGGCGACGAUCCGUAACUGGUCUGAGAGGAUGAUCAGUCACACUGGAACUGAGACACGGUCCAGACUCCUACGGGAGGCAGCAGUGGGGAAUAUUGGACAAUGGGCGAAAGCCUGAUCCAGCCAUGCCGCGUGUGUGAAGAAGGUCUUCGGAUUGUAAAGCACUUUAAGUUGGGAGGAAGGGCAGUAAGUUAAUACCUUGCUGUUUUGACGUUACCAACAGAAUAAGCACCGGCUAACUUCGUG
rnacentral:rRNA from 1 species